GACGAACGCUGACGGCGUGCUUAACACAUGCAAGUCGAAGGGAGUGGCGAACGGGUGAGUGACACGUGAGUAACCUGCCCUUUUCUUUGGGAUAAGCCUGGGAAACUGGGUCACAUACUGGAUGGAUUGGGAUGGGCUCGCGGCUUAUCAGCUUGGUGGUGGGGUGAUGGCUUACCAAGGCUUUGACGGGUAGCCGGGCUGAGAGGGGAGACUGUGACACGGGGACUGGGAUACGGCCCAGACUCCUGCGGGAGGGAGAAGUUGGGGAUAUUGCACAAAGGGUGAAAGACUGAUGCAGCGACGCCGCAUGAGGGAUGAGGGCUUUCAAGUUGUAAUCUUCGUUCAGGAUAGUGCGGGUAGGUGGAGAAAAAGCGCCGGCUAACUACGUGCCAGCAGCCGCGGUAAUUC
rnacentral:rRNA from 1 species